rnacentral:rRNA from 1 species
CAGUCGCCGCGGUAAUACAGAGGGUGCGAGCGUUAAUCGGAUUUACUGGGCGUAAAGCGUGCGUAGGCGGCUUCUUAAGUCGGAUGUGAAAUCCCUGAGCUUAACUUAGGAAUUGCAUUCGAUACUGGGAAGCUAGAGUAUGGGAGAGGAUGGUAGAAUUCCAGGUGUAGCGGUGAAAUGCGUAGAGAUCUGGAGGAAUACCGAUGGCGAAGGCAGCCAUCUGGCCUAAUACUGACGCUGAGGUACGAAAGCAUGGGGAGCAAACAGGAUUAGAUACCCGGGUAGUCCCUGUCUCUUAUAC